GAUGAACGCUGGCGGCGUGCUUAACACAUGCAAGUCGAGCGAAGCGCUUAAGUUUGAUUCUUCGGAUGAAGACUUUUGUGACUGAGCGGGCGACGGGUGAAGGUACGCGUGGUAACCUGCCUCAUACAGGGGGAUAACAGUUAGAAAUGACUGCUAAUACCGCAUAAGACCACAGGGUCGCAUGACCCGGUGGUAAAAACUCCGGUGGUAUGAGAUGGACCCGCGUCUGAUUAGCUAGUUGGUGGGGUAACGGCUCACCAAGGCGACGAUCAGUAGCCGGACUGAGAGGUUGAACGGCCACAUUGGGACUGAGACACGGCCCAG
rnacentral:rRNA from 1 species